GAGUAGAGCGGCGCAGGGUGAGUAACGCGUGGAUCAUCUGCCUAAAAGUUCGGGAUAACGGCGGGAAACUGCCGCUAAUACCGGAUACGCUCCAAUUUCGGUUGGGGGAAAGUCGGCCUCUGCUUGCAAGCUGUCGCUUUUAGAUGAGUCCGCGUCCCAUUAGCUUGUUGGUGGGGUAAUGGCCUACCAAGGCAACGAUGGGUAGCUGGUCUGAGAGGAUGAUCAGCCACACUGGAACUGAAACACGGUCCAGACUCCUACGGGAGGCAGCAGUGGGGAAUAUUGCGCAAUGGGGGAAACCCUGACGCAGCGACGCCGUGUGAGGGAAGAAGGCUUUCGGGUCGUAAACCUCUGUCGGGAAGGAAGAACCCCUCAGGGCCUAAUAUGCUCUGGGGCUGACGGUACUUCCAAAGGAAGCACCGGCUAACUCCGUGCCAGCAGCCGCGGUAAUACGGAGGGUGCAAGCGUUAAUCGGAAUCACUGGGCGUAAAGCGCGCGUAGGCCGCUUUUUAAGUCGGGCGUGAAAGCCCUCGGCUCAACCGAGGAAUUGCGUUCGAAACUGAGAAGCUUGAGUCCUGGAGAGGGUGGCGGAAUUCCGGGUGUAGGAGUGAAAUCCGUAGAUAUCCGGAGGAANCACCGGUGGCGAAGGCGGCCACCUGGACAGGUACUGACGCUUGAGGCGCGAAAGCGUGGG
rnacentral:rRNA from 1 species